rnacentral:hammerhead_ribozyme from 1 species
UGCCGAAACCGCGAGGUCUCCUCGCGGUCGUGUCCGGGUUGCGCCGGAUGCCUGACGAGGCAGCUACCC